rnacentral:tRNA from 1 species
ACCUGAUUGGCUCGGUUGGUAGAGCAUGUGACUCUUGAUCUCAGGGUCAUGAGUUUGAACCCCAUGUUGGGCA